ACACUCCUGCGGGAGGCAGCAGUGGGGAAUAUUGGACAAUGGGCGCAAGCCUGAUCCAGCCAUGCCGCGUGAGUGAUGAAGGCCCUAGGGUUGUAAAGCUCUUUCACCGGAGAAGAUAAUGACGGUAUCCGGAGAAGAAGCCCCGGCUAACUUCGUGCCAGCAGCCGCGGUAAUACGAAGGGGGCUAGCGUUGUUCGGAAUUACUGGGCGUAAAGCGCACGUAGGCGGAUCGAUCAGUCAGGGGUGAAAUCCCAGGGCUCAACCCUGGAACUGCCUUUGAUACUGUCGAUCUGGAGUAUGGAAGAGGUGAGUGGAAUUCCGAGUGUAGAGGUGAAAUUCGUAGAUAUUCGGAGGAACACCAGUGGCGAAGGCGGCUCACUGGUCCAUUACUGACGCUGAGGUGCGAAAGCGUGGGGAGCAAACAGGAUUAGAUACCCGAGUAGUCCCAUG
rnacentral:rRNA from 1 species